rnacentral:rRNA from 1 species
CGGAGGGUGCAAGCGUUAUCCGGAUUCACUGGGUUUAAAGGGUGCGUAGGCGGAUUAGUAAGUCCGUGGUGAAAUCUCCGAGCUUAACUCGGAAACUGCCGUGGAUACUAUUAGUCUUGAAUGUUGUGGAGGUUAGCGGAAUAUGUCAUGUAGCGGUGAAAUGCAUAGAUAUGACAUAGAACACCAAUUGCGAAGGCAGCUGGCUACACAAAUAUUGACGCUGAUGCACGAAAGCGUGGGGAUCAAACAGGAUUAGAUACCCUGGUAGUCCACGCCCUAAACGAUGAUUACUCGACAUUUGCGAUAUACAGUAAGUGUCUGAGCGAAAGCAUUAAGUAAUCCACCUGGGAAGUACGACCGCAAGGUUG